AAUAUGAAUAGUGUUUUACAAAUCUGUUUGCUUUUGUAGUGAAGGUGAAUUUUGAUAUGAAAGUAUAACAGUCAUACUAGCUAGUCUGUUAAGGGUUGUUACCUUUUUAUAGGUUUAGUGCUUCCCAAACCUCUGUGGCAAGGCAGGAGACUACCAGUUUUUAUGGGAGACCUGUGGUAGUAAUGGGAGAAGGGGAUUAAUAAAAGCAAUGUAGUUUUAUGUGGAGGCUCUGUGUUGCUUA
rnacentral:lncRNA from 1 species